rnacentral:rRNA from 1 species
GAUGAACGCUGGCGGCAUGCCUAACGCAUGCAAGUCGAUCGGUAAGGCUCUUCGGAGUACACGAGAGGCGGACGGCUGAGUAACGCGUAGGAACACACCCUGCAGUGAGGGAUAAGACACCGAAAGGUGUUCUAAUACCGCAUACGGUCUUCGGAUUAAAGCAUUUAUGCGCUGAAGGAGUGGCCUGCGUCAUAUUAGAUAGUUGGUGAGGUAAUGGCUCACCAAGUCGAUGAUGUGUAGCUGGUCUGAGAGGAUGAUCAGCCAGACUGGAACUGAGACACGGUCCAGACUCCUACGGGAGGCAGCAGUGAGGAAUAUUUCACAAUGAGCGAAAGCGUGAUGGAGCAAUGCCGCGUGCAGGAUGAAGGCCCUCGGGUUGUAAACUGCUUUUAUAAGAGAAGAUUAUGACGGUAACUUAUGAAUAAGGGACGGCUAACUACGUG